rnacentral:lncRNA from 1 species
CUGAAAGGUAAGUGGAACAUGUGGUCAAGGCUCUACCCUAUUAUCUCCUCAGUCUUAGCAUUCUCCCUUAUAAUUUACUGCAGCCCACAAGGGCUUCAUUCUUCAUACUAGUGAUCCUAGGACUAUUGGGAAAGUUAGGGCAUCUUCCAGGUCAGUCCCUUUUCUUUUUUGCUCUGUAUCUCAUCCAUCAAACAUUAUUAGCAGGACACCCACUCAGUUGCAAAACUGAGUCAAUUCUCUUUGGAGAUUUAUACUUCUUUAUGUACAUCUUUAUCUCUUCUAAACUACUUUAGUCAGCUUAGCCUUAAGGGAAACUUUCAGACAUUCCAAUCUUUAGUUUGUCUUAACAGUUUGUUUAUUUUUUUUUCUGUUGCAGUGAAAUGUCUUCUUCCCAUGCCUACCUUCCUCUUGGUUGGAGGGCCUUCUAAUUCUUUUCACUUUCUUUUAUGUUUUCUCAGGUAGUGUCUACACAUAACUGGAAAUGGCACCAGCACCAUACAGGUGACCGGACAGCCACACAUGUGGAUGUGUGGUCUUGUCACCUAGUAUUUGACUCUUCUCCCCUGUUUCCAGUUUACAAGCUAUUCACAACUGGAAGUGAGACCAGUCCUAAAAGUCAAAAGGCUGAAGACAGAUCUCUAACAAACAACAUGAAGAAUAAGAUGGAAUUAGCUGUUUCCUUUAAACAAGAAUUAUCUUACUAUUUCUCAGUGGACUGAAGAAGAAGAAACGGUAGUUCUACAGACUUACAUGAAAGCCAAACAACAGAGGAGGAGAAAAAGGAGAAGGAAUUUUAAUGGGAAUUUCACUGCUUUAGAAGACUUUGAGGUAUGCUAACUUGAAUGGAGAAUUAAUGACUAUUUAGUGCCAAACUGCCAAGAAGAAUUUGACUUUGAUUUCAUAGGUGAAGAGGCCAGAACUAUACAAGACAGAAAUUACUGAGGCUAGCACCAGUAUGCACAGUUAGCUUUCUAUACUAGAAUAAAUUUCCUAAGUUUAUCA